UUUAGCAUCGGUGCUUUUCUAUCGAGAGUUGAUAGCACAAGCCUUUUAAAGCACAAAGGGUAGCAGUACUUCAGCCAAUCUGUGAUAAAAGGGAAAAAAUGAAAUCACUAUGGAAACUGCAGGAAGAAUCUAAAAGCUUUCUUUAUAAAGUAAACGUCUGAUGUUUGUGACUGUGGGGGCAAAAAAUUCAUAAAUCUGUACAAUGCUAUCGUUUCUGAUUUGUUAUCGCAGCAAAUGCCAAGUCUAAGCAGUCUGACCUUAGCCUUAUUAAGUGGUUUCUUUUCAGAUACAGUUAUUAUUUGACAAUAGAGAGACUGCAGUGCUGCAAGGGGGAAAACUAAUAUAUUUAAAAUGUGUGCGUGUCUGCGUGCAUGUAUCUAUCUAUCUAUCGAUCUCUCUCUCUUCCCCCAUGAAGCUUACAGAGCUGCGAGCACUGAAUGUGGGAACUUGGACUGCUAUUCUGAGCACAUUUCAGAAAACUCUGUUGCGUCCCAUUACGUGCCUGUCUUUGAUCUCAAAUUGAAAAUCUCGGAGCCUCUUCCUCCAAUCCAAAAGCAAAUAAAUAGCGAAAGAAAGAAACAACUCUCCUCUCAGCACGUAGGGCCUCCACGACUGAAAAAUGAAGGUGGCAGUAAUAGCUCUGAUGAACCUGUUUGGACAACAGACAGCAACAAAUACCUGUCUCUGUGGAGGAGUUUAAGAGCACUGCAGAGAUCCUCAGACAGUGCAGAGCCUCUUGGCUUACACAGGCCACUGUCUUUCUCUCCAAACAAUACCAGCCAAGCUUCCUCGGUACCUACAGCUGAAGAGCUGCGGGAACGGGACAGUAACUAAUGCAGCUUUCAAAUUUGAAUCUCCUGGUAUUAUUAAAACAUAACCAAUGAAAGAAAGAAAAAAAGAAAGGAAAAAGGCAUGAAUUUUAAGCAAGAUGAGGGAUUUGAUUCUGAGGAAGAAAACUACACAUGGAGGCUUGAAGGGCAGUCCUGACUGUUUUUUCUCCACCCAGCUACUUUACUCGUGGCCCUUUGAAAGCAGCGAUUUCUGUGAAUCAGCAGUUAAAACGGAUUUGCUGACAGAGCCCCAAAGUUGCCAGAGGCCAUCCUCAUCUCGUUACGUGCUCUUUCUGCAGAUGGUUGGGGCUGGUGGGACGAUUGCUGCCCCUCCUCGAGGGACUCCACACCAAGCGCUGCAGGCCUCUGGGCUGAGACACAGUGGAUGAUUGAUUGUACCCGCCAGCUGGCUAAUAUCAUAAUUAACAAAGUUGCUACCAUGUCUGAGAAGUUUAAUCGAAAAAAUUGCUGGCAGUAUGAUACCAUUGUCACAGAGAUCACAAGCCCUGCAGUGUCGACUUUUGUACUGUUGGAGCCACAGGACUAUGUAGAUGUGCAGAGAAGUCGUUCGCUGGGAUAACUAAAGUGAGCUGUGCUUGCAGACGUUGCAUGACUGUGCCCUGCUGGAGCUGCCCAGUGGCAUCCUUCCUCUGCUCUGCUUGUCGCCGCUGAAGCAGCAGUGCCAUGGGGACGCUGAACCUGGGAGCAGCUGCCUGAGACAAACCCUCAUGCAGGGAUAUCAGCAGAAGCACAUGGAGGCACAUCAGUAAGGUUUAGCUGGUGGAUCACAUUUUGAAAUCUGCAGCCAUGAAAAGCCCUCCAUUUAUUGCACCCUUCAAAACGAAAUAUUAGCAUGGGAGGCUAAGCUGGGUGUUAUGGAGUAAUGACUUCAAGUUCUGCUUCAGAAGUAACUCCAUGGCACUAUGAGGAGAGGUGUGAAUGAGAAAUGGAGGCUAAUAACGAAGGAGUCAGUGAAGGAGACCAAUGCCACGAGGGUUAUCUCGCAGCCCCAGAUGCUGGAUAAGUUGGAAGAGACAGAAUCGCUUUCAGAUGACAUUCAGAAAGGCCUUGAAUGAUUAUUUGGAGAAGAAAGGACUAUUCUUUCCAAGGUAAGCAGUCCAUUUCAUCUGUC